rnacentral:rRNA from 1 species
ACCUACGGGGGGCAGCAGUGAGGAAUAUUGGUCAAUGGGCGGAAGCCUGAACCAGCCAAGUCGCGUGAGGGAAUAAGGCCCUACGGGUCGUAAACCUUUUUUGCCGGGGAGCAAGGGCGGGGACGUGUCCCGGCCCGGAGAGUACCCGGAGAAAAAGCAUCGGCUAACUCCGUGCCAGCAGCCGCGGUAAUACGGAGGAUGCGAGCGUUAUCCGGAUUUAUUGGGUUUAAAGGGUGCGUAGGCGGGCUUUUAAGUCAGCGGUAAAAAUUCGGUGCUCAACCCCGUCCGGCC